rnacentral:rRNA from 1 species
UACGUAGGGUGCGAGCGUUGUCCGGAAUUAUUGGGCGUAAAGAGCUCGUAGGCGGUUUGUCGCGUCUGCUGUGAAAACUCGGGGCUUAACCCCGGGCCUGCAGUGGGUACGGGCAGACUAGAGUGCGGUAGGGGAGACUGGAAUUCCUGGUGUAGCGGUGAAAUGCGCAGAUAUCAGGAGGAACACCGGUGGCGAAGGCGGGUCUCUGGGCCGUAACUGACGCUGAGGAGCGAAAGCUAGGGGAGCGAACGGG